AGUCUCGGCCGUGCCUGAGGUGCCCCGUCCGCAAACGGGGUUAAAAGGGAAUAUGGAAGGGCAUUUUCCGCCCGAGCCAUAGCUGCUCCCGCAACUGUCAGCGCUGAGGCUUCCUCAACAUGCCACUGGGCCCUUUCGGCCUGGGAAGGCGAGGACGCCGUCGAAGCGCAAGCCAGGAAACCUGCCUUGGGUCGUCACCGUCC
rnacentral:ncRNA from 2 species